AUCGAGAUAUAUAACAUGUUUUCAGGAAUAGCAAAGAACUUUUGCUUGGUAUGGAAAAAAAAAAGAUCUUGGAAAGAAGGUCGAUAACCUGGUGGAAGCUGAGAUCGCCUCGGUAUCCCAGGGAUUUGACGGCAGAGGCGACGUCGGCACAUAUCUUGAAGCGCUCCGCGGUGGACUCGGGAAGGGAGGUGGGGAAGGACGGGGACGAUUCAUCGUCGUCAAGGAGGCGGAGGGAUUGAGAGCAGAUGGAGACGAGGGCGUCCGGGCCGAGAUCUUUGAUGGAAGAGACGCCGGCGGGGAGGGAGACCCCGGAGCUGCUGAGAGAGCUCAGGAGGAUCUCCUGCGCCUCGUCCAUGGCGGACAGGACACGGCCGGCUCCUAGGGUUCUCUUUGUUCGGCAAUCUGCCUGACGGGAUUGGUCUUUUAGAAGAAGACGGUAUCAGUAGCUCGGUAGCUUAAUAGAGAUUGGACGACGCGAAAUUAAACCAGUGCCGGCAGACCGAUAACCGGCACUAGUUUAAACCUGGGAGAGAUUUUUCUGCGAACAUAAAAUAGACCAUUCAAUGAAGAGGUUAAGGCCAAGGUAGAAAACUUCAGAUUGGUUUAAUUUAAAUUAGAAAGAAAAGAACAUGCAAAUAUCCCCAUCAUAUCUAUGCUAUAUAUGCAAUCUUUUUUUGGUGAAAUAUGCUAUGGAAUGUCGAGCAAUGAAAAUAUCAUAAAUUUCCUUGUCUCGGUAAUAUUAUACAUGUAUUUGUUGGCACAAUGCACAUGCUAGAACACAUGCUAAGGCAUCUGUGUAGUUUUUUUCUGCAAUCCAAACUUUCUAAUACACGCAUUUAUUCCUAGGUGCACAACAUAGGCCCUAUAGAAUAAUACAAUGAAAUUUGUGAACAAAAAUCAUGUGGGGUAGGCACUAUCUUAAUAUAGGGCAGGACUCUUUUUUUUUUGCCAUAUUUCUUCUUACACCUAUAUUAAAGAGGAAAUCGAGAAAUCAAAUAAAGAUAGAACUUCUUGUACUAACGGAGUCCGUUAAUUCUAUAACUUUAAAAAAAUAAAAGAAAAAAAUUCACAUACCAAUAAAGACCGUGUGCGAAGAAAGACCAUCGCAUUCUCUUUUUUCUUCGUUAAGUGAUACACAAUCAUCGGCUUUCUGAUACAUACUGUAAGUUUCUUUUAUACACAUCUAGUAGCAACAUAAU
rnacentral:lncRNA from 1 species